AACUAAUGUGUUCUGGAUAGAGUACCUGAAGUCGUAGAUCGAGCCAUACAUCUUCUUCAUGCAUCUUAAGUGGCGUAUAAGAUUAUCCUUUCUGCAGAUAGAUCCCCCCUUUGGUAUUCUGUUGACGAACUGAAGCCAAAGAAGAGGAAAGGAAAAGUACAACUGGAUGCAUCGUCACCUGCCAUGGUAGUAGCGGCUUGUAAUAAGGUAAAGGGAAACCACCGGACUUCCACCAUAGAUUCCAUCGAUCUCUGAAUACGUUAUUCUCUCCAGUGUAUUCCCUCCAACCACGUUCUGUGCAAAUCUGUGAAAAAUAUGCAACAACCUUCCUGUAAACGACCGUUUAAAGAACUCGAUCUACGAGAAGGUGGAUUGAUCAUUUUAAUUGCGCUUAAAGUCAGGAGUCGAGGAAACGUGUUAGGUGAGCACCGAUUAACUUGGAAUAUUACGCAUUCAACGAUUCGUAAAGUUCGGAAGGUGCACGCGAAAAUAGCGUAGAAUGCCCUUGAUUUAUUUCUCGUGUUAUCUGAGCAUUAGGAAUGCUUUGCUUCUGAUAUCAAAAGCGAGCCAAGGUCUUUAAUUACAAUUAAAUUCGAGUGGAUUUACUUUUAUCGUAGCCUACUUUUAUUCUUCGGCUUUAAUAGCCGCGCAACGUUUUCUUCAAACUUUAUAAUGGAUCUGAAAGGUCGACGAUCGCGUUUACAUCGUAGAUCAUUUCAUUCUAGAUCAACGAAUUCUACUAUCAAGAAAAUGAACGUAGAAGAGUCGUUUGUUUCUUUCUUUUUUAUUAUUAUUGCAUGUCGCGCUUACUUAGUUAAUAGCCGUUGCGCUUCUAAAAGUGGUGCACGCAAAAGCGCGUCGAGUCCCGGCUGAACUUUACGUAUCUAUGUACCUUGAAAAGCAUUCAGUUCAAGGGCAGGGGCUAAGUUUGUAACCGUGACGAACAAAAUUUCGAGCGACAUAAAAGCACGACGGAACGAACCGUCUACGAUUUAUCUACACACCGGAUAUACGGGGUGUCUCGAGAACACUGCUAAAACUAUAGAUUCUCUCGAACAAAAUCCUUUACCAUUCGGAUAUAAAUAAAUUCGAUUCGAAUAAUUGGUACCUGUAUCAGAAGAUUCGGACCUGUACCACUGUCGUUCAAUCUGAACACGAAUGGUCCAUCCAAGUAUUUCACAGCCAUACCGAAACAUGGUAUUUUAGUAAAAUCAAAGAGGAUAAACUCUGUUAGUGGAUCAUUAUUUAGCUGAUGAUUGGUGGGCAGUCUUCUAUUUUUCUAAAUAAAAGUAAUAACAAUUGUAACGCUAUAAGUUCCAAUUAGAAAGAAGUUAAGGACACAAGAUUACUCACCUCUCACAGUAAAUAUGAUAUUUUUUUUUAUUCGGUUACAUCUUUAACUUUUCGUUCACGAAAACCUUUAAGCGAUAUUCUGUUGAUUUAGAAAAGCGUUUAUGUUAAAGAACAUGUUUAAAAUUCGUAUUCAAAUAUUUCGAUGGAAUGGUGGCAUGCAAGCAAGCCGAAAUCUCGAUUCUCACUGGUGCACAGCCACGUUACGGUGUACGCAAUCGCUUUGACCUGAUCCCAGGUGCGCAGGCUACUCGUGUGCUGGCUUCCUUGGUGGUUUCCAGCUUUUAUGAGCUUUCGGUGGACACCGCGACACCGCAAGGACACCGGAAGUCUCGCAGGAAGCUUCUGAAAGAAUUUGAAUGUCGCUCGUUUGCAGAUCGUUAUCGUGAACACGCGACACAUUAGUAAUUGUGCUUCCUUCGAAUCGAUGAUAAAAAACCAGGACUAAAGACCAGAUUCUAUUUUAAUCCCAUUUGGGUAGAAUUCAUCGAUAUCAUUCUAUAGAAUACCUUUUCAUUAGAAAAUGAGUUUUUCGAUUGAACGAAGGAAGGAAAUAUAAUUACAAUCUACUAUUAGUAGAUGUACAGAGUUAUUUUUGGAAAAAUUUGUUCUUUUUUGAAAUCGGUAGAAAUGCCACCACCGCGGUGGUAUUAAUAAAAAUACCUUAAAGCGAAAAGGGUUUAGGGUAAGUUUUACGUACAUCACCAUGUAUGAUAUACAAAGUUUCAUGAAUCCAUUCGAUUUGAUAACUAUACAGCUGUUCGACGUACGUCUACGUUCAUUGAAGUUCGCGUUGAUGACGUAUCUAUUGCGACAAAAAUGAUCCGUCAGAAAAACGUCUGUCGCGUGUCCGUAUUCGCAGAAGGAGGUACCGCAAGGUUAUACUUUAAACGAUAAAUCGAUGAGACGAGACUUACGAAAGAGUUGUUUCCUCGUUAGAAACGAAAAAUCGUUUACGACCGAUCCCUUACGUGUUUCCGGUUACCCCCGUGUUACAUACGAUGCAAACUCGUCCCGUUUUCAACACCUAACUGCGAAAUGCUCUUUUGUUUUUUUUUUCAUGCAUCGAAACAGGAGAUGCAGGGAAAUAUUAACAGAAAGGAAAGUUUAUCGUGAACAUUUUAUUCAAUUUUAUUGUAAGCAACACGUAACACGGAUACAAAGGCUCGUGCGAUAUUCAGCCAGCAGUCGAUCUAUAAUUAGUAUUAAUCCUAAUCGCGAAAUUGCAUAAUCGAUUAGCAAUGUUGAACGCUCUUAAAGGAAAUCGACUUCGUCAAAUGAAUUUCUUCGAUAUCCUUCUUCGUCUCUUUCGUUACUUACUAAACUAUACAACGUACAUUUAAAUAUAUCGUCCUUCGAUUCGCAAGCUUUUGACACGAGCCCGCGACGAUGGCACUGAAAAAUCGGUAACAUUGUCUAAAAUAAUAAUAUGGCAACUGCUAUCGAGUACGAGUUUCCCGAUUAUCAACUCGUUCAUCACUUUUAUCAUCGUGUACCCUGAAAACGAGGCAGUUUAAAACGAUUCAAGUAUCAACGUACCAGCGUGCAAUCUUAUUCUCCUUUUAUAGUUUUUCUCACAGACAGAUUUUCUCUUCGUUCUGAAAGACAAGAGCUGUUGAACGGAUUGUGUUAUUUAUCGGUCGUCUUGAAUCGCCCUGAUUUCAGGGUAAAAUAAGUUACAUCGUUACGAGGAUUCUAGUUUUUCUUCUUGUUAAAGAUAACAAGUUAGUUGACGAUCCACGCGCAUAGAAUUAUAAUAUUCGUCGUUUUUUUCUCUUUUUUAUUCCCUGCACGAUACAUUUCGAGCAUCAUCGAUGAUUGACUAGUAAAACCCGAAUAAUAAUUGAUUCGACGAGAGGAGGGUAUCUUCCUCGUCAGAAUUUUCAUCGAAUGUCAGGUCAGUUUCCCUCGUAUCUCCAAGGAGGCAGCGUUUUCGUGUCGACGCGGUUUCUAUGCACCUUGAUAGUACGAAAUAUGUGAUAAUACCCGUAAUACUAAUUGCUCGCAUGACCUUUGCGUGAUCGAAAAGCAGGAGACCAAGUUGAUGCGCGUUCGUUGCAGAAUUUUCUGCGGCAACGAUUACACCAAGUAUUCGAGACUCGUCCAUCACCGGAAACGCGAAUAACUUGUCGCUGAAAUUGCGAUGCGAAGCGCAUGAAAUUCAGGAAACUUUGCCAUUUAGACGGAUCUCCAUGCUUUGGACACUUUUACGUCGACUUACGUUUUUCAAAAUGAGAAUUUUCAAACUUCAUAGGCUAGCACUUUAAUCUGGCAAUCUUACGAAUAUUCUUUAAAGAAAGUUUACAAGUUACGUGACCGUAUUAUCCUUUCGUUGGAAAUUAAUUGCCAAUUCAUGUAAAUUAGCUUCACCGGGUUUAUCAUUGAAUCGGGUUAGUCGAUAUUUCGCCAUGCGAUUGUCAAUUGUCAUUUUGUCGGGCAAAGAAUUUGCUCGAAUAAUUAUCGUAAAAGCUGGAAGCACGGAAAUCCGAAGAAACGCGAUCGUUUCGGGGCUGGGAUCCUUAAAGUACGAAGGACACUUUCUUUUAUCCUCGAUCGACUUUGAAUUCUUGCAGGAGAAAUGAUAAUUAAUCGAUGUAAUUCGUUCGUAAUCGUUUGCUUUCUUAAUUGUCGUCGACGGCAAGCGAAGAAAUAAUUCGUGCAGAAAGAAUUCGUGCUGGUAAAGUUAAUCAUUCAAUUUUUUUUUUUUUUUUUUUUUUCGACUUUUCCUAUUCUUUUUCGUUUCGACCCUUUCUUCUAUUUUAAAUGUUGGUUCUAACGCGCAUGAUUUUUACAGAAUGGACGACCACCCUUCGCGUAGAAGCUUUGACCUUCGAGGUUCUUCUUGCACAUCUGCAACACAAAUCCAAGGAAGAUUAAUUAACGUGGUAAGUGACGAUUUAAAAUAUUUUCUAUAUAUAUUACGUACCGAGCAGUUGAAACACUGGCUGUGGUAGUUGUUGUUCAGAGCCUCUACCCAGCGAUCUCCAGCUUCAACUGGGAAUCCACACGCGAAACAUUUUGUUGUGAACAGCUCGUUCCAAUCUGUGUAUUAGUAGCAUCAUUUAUUCGGUGUUGUAUCAUGAAAUUCUUCGUUAAAUUAAACGUAGCUGUACUAACCAGCUUCACAGUAGGGUAAGCCUUCUUCGAGGAAAAAUGGGCUGUUUCCAAACAGUUUACCACAGUAGGAACAUUUGAAGCAUUCAGGGUGGAAAUGCUUUCCAAUUGCAUUCAGACAAUCCUACCACAGGAAUAUCGAUAAAUUAACGCAUCGAAUGCUUAACAAAUUGCUUCCUCUUCAAUUGGUGAAUACUUACGCCUUUGAUCUUGAUGUUGCAUUUGUUGCAACUUGGAGCGAUGAAACGUUCGAAGCAAUAUUCGCAAUAGAGUUGGCCCUUCUCUUCUACGAAACCGAUGUCUUGAAGAGGUCGACGACAUUGGGUGUUCACGCAGACGAAAUGAUCAGGGCACCAGAUUUGUCCCAAAGCGGUGAUGAAAGGUCCCCUGAACGAUCACAAUCACCUUUACAAAUCCAUUUACAAGAGCGACUGAACACGAAGAAGCAAAGCAUAACACAGCAGGCAACAAUUGAAGAAACGGAUAAAUUCUCUCUUACCAACCUUGUGCACCCUUUGUCGUUUUUACAGCACGUUGGCUUUAUCACGAGACCGUUCGACUUGUGAUUAGUAUUUUCUUCGUUAGCUGUUAACAUCGUGCAAACAAGUGAACACUGUUAAUCACACUGACGAUCAGAAGACAAUCAGUAUCAACCCUGCGGCGGUCGUGGUAGAUAAUUAUUGUCGAAGCUAAGAUUCACCCUAAUUACUUUUUAUAUCAACGUCAUUCGUCUGAAAGAUCGACCCCCGCAAAGUUAAUUAAAAAUAUCAAGAAAGUACAUAUUCCUGAAAAGCAAUUUAACCAAACAAAUAAAUUUGUCAACUUAAAAAAGAAACACAUACACAAAUUCAAUGCACAAUCAAGAAAAUAUUCUCCAACGAUAUUCCUGAAACGAUCACCACCUACACCAAAUUGUCUAGACGAACUGACGAACUAAUCCAGGUCAUUCAUAAUCAACCAAAAAACAAUGAGGGAGAGGAAUAAUCAGGCAUGAGGAAAAAAAAAAACAAGCAAACAACACUGACGAGCAAAGUACCGAUGAGUACCUGACGUAAGAGUUGCAAUGGCCGCAAAGGGGUACCCGUGAUCCCGGUCCAGUCGCUUGAUUCAGUAUUCCCCUUCCACGUUUUGGUGCGCUGCUACCAGCGAAAGAUCCGCUCUUGGAGCCAGCACCACCGAGACCACCGAUUCCGCUACCUAGAUCCGGGUGGGAUGACAAAUUUGGUGGAUCUACUAUACUCUGGGCAUUACUAGACGGGGAACAAUGGAUACCGUCCUGGCAGUGAUUUUGGCUCUCACAUUGAGUCCCGGUUCGACAGCGGGCGUUGUUUGAACAUUGACCACCCGAUUGACAAUGAGUUUCGGUGGAUCGGUAACAUUGGGUCUUUUGACAAUAGCUUUUGCUCUCGCAACAGCUUGCUGCAUCAGUUUGAGCUUGGGGCUUGUACAAUUGAACAGUGGGUACAUUGUGACCGGUUUUAGCAGUGAGUCGCGCGAGCUGCCCACUCAGAUUAGUGCGAGGCUUGUGAAUAGGCUGGAAGGAGUUUUUGCAAGGCGAAGAAGCGGAAGUACCCUCGUACGGGAAAGAGAUUUGAGGAAAAGGAAGUUUAGCCGACGGUGGUGGGCCGGGUUUGCCGCAGGGUGCCACGCAGACAGAACCAUCGGCGCAGGGUGCCACGCAGAUUCCAGAUUCUGGACAGUUUGGAAUCUCGAUCUCGCAGGCUGAUUCCCGACCGCAGCGUCCUUCCGGUUGGCCACAGCUUCCCGUUUUCAUACCCAUGCAAGGAGACACGCAAACUCCCGAACGAUCCGACGUUGGAACCACGCAUACGCCUGACUUUUGACAGCAGGGCUUAGGUCCCUCGCAAGGCACCACUACAACACCCGCUUUGGUGCCUUGAUCAGAAUGAGCUUUGCAAGGCAGCACCGUUACUCCGGUAUCUGGACACGGUUUGCAGGGUGGAGCGCCGUAGCUAACGUGACGCACUUCCGUCGAGCUGGUGUACACCGGUUGCACGCUCGAGCUCGUUUCCGUCUUGGAUGCCAAAGGGCAAGGCAGAGUUAGUUUGCAGGGGCUCGUUCUACCGAUGGCACACGAGCCCUUGGAUGGUUUCUCUCGAGGCUCCGGCAAAGGUCUGGCCGGUACCCUUCUUUCGCAUCUCUCAAAGUCUUCGGUAACCUCGAGCGAUUUCUGCGUCAGCGAGAGCUUCUGUUCGUUGAUUUCCUCGCUAGUCAUGAACCGUUUCUCUUGGUACUGAGCAUGGACCGCGUCCGUAGGUUCUCGACCGGGAUCGUCGGUUCGUUUCUCGUCAAAGUCCACCGUCUUGCUAGCGGCGUACUCGGCUUUUCUGUGUCCCUCGUCAGUGUCUUCGUCUAUCUUGUAAGAGACGCUCUUCUUCGUUGGGAAGUGUAUGGAGCUGUGCUUGGUGGGAGGUGGAUCCUCUCUGAUCAUGGGAGCAUGAGCCUUCGUAUAGCAGGGGGGAGGUUCUGGUGGUCCAUGGGCGGGUGACUUUGAUCUUCCCGGAGUAGGCGUCGGAGUUCUGCUGGGUAGAUACGUGUGACUCUCAACCGCGCCUCUUCUCAUAGCCACUAGGUUCCUCUGAUAUGAAGGUAUAGUGUCCGGCUUCUUCAAGGAAGCUGUGAUGCCUUUGCUGCAAGGUGUUUGGGGUCGAGAUCUCACCGGAGACGCGGAUGAGUCCCUUAGACGGAAGUCGGGCGGUGGUGUCGGUAACGGUCGUGGACCACAGGGUUUAGGAGACGGUGGAACGAUGGGUUUACCCUCGCCGUAGAGGAGACCAGCGGGUGGAGGGUAUUUACUCCCGUCCUGAAGCACGGGGGUCUGAGACCGACUGCAAACGUUUCUGUCUUCCGGUCCAAUUUCGCGACUCAGAGGAGUGUAAGGACGUUCCGGGGCGAUCAUAAGCGCCUCCUGGAACGGUGAAAUGGGUCGUAGAUUCUCUGGCGGUGGUUUCGGUCGACACCUGUGAUCCAAGUAUAUCGUUUCUUCAGUGUAAACCUCCUUUAUACUCGACGAGGUGCUGAGAGGAGUGAAAGGUCGAUCGGGUGCCGUGGUCAAAGCGUUCACCAUUUCAGACUUCCACUCUUUGGGGGUAGCGUUUUGAAGAGCAGAAUGCGGUAUGGGCUUGGGACCUGAAUCGGUCUGUUUCACGAAUUGAACUCGUUUUUUAUUAGUCUCCAUGAUUUCUUGAGCCGGAGGAUACUUGGAGCAUACGCGUCGAUCCUUGGGUGCCUGUUGCUCUCUUAAACUUUGAUGAACUUCUACCUGUUCUCUCAAACUCUUCCUGCGUUCAUCUUCGAUCGCCUUCCUCCUGACGCGUUCCUGGACCAACACUUCCUCCGUGAUCUCCUCGUAAGUCUCCUUGAUGAGCUUCUUGCGUCCAGGCGUGUCACUUUCAGCUUCCGUCACCCUCUCUUCACGGACCACUGUUCUUCCCAGUGGAUGUUCUCGAACUUCUUCCACUUCCUCUUCUUCGAAAGCGACAUGUUUGCUUCGUUCUUCCUCCUCCUGUCUCCUUCGUUCCUCCUCGGCGCGUUUUCUCCUCUGUUCCUCUUCUUCGCGUUUUCUUCUCUCUUCCUCUUCUUGUCUUCGUCUCUCUUCCUCCUCUUCCUCUCUCUUUUGCUCCUCUUCCUCCUGUUUCGCCUUCUCCAGCAUCUGUUGAACGUCCACCGCCGAGGUGACCACUUCAGCUGACUCUACAACCGUCUUCUCUUCAGACUCCUCAACUUUUCUGUCGAUAUGCGUAGCAGUUUUUCUGGUAUAACUCUCUUCGAUCUUCUCCGUCGCCUCUUCGACCGUCUCCGCCGCGACGGACUCCUCUAUCAUCGGAGUGCUGGGUCGUGCAGGUGACGGGAUCUUCUCGAUGGUCUUCUCGAAUGUCAUCUUCUUCUUCACGUGCAGUCCAUCCACGUCUUCUUCGGAAGUCUCGGUAAUAAAAUCGUGUUCUCCUCCGACUCCUUUCCCGUCGGAAUCAUCUUCCUCGAUCUCGUCAGCUGGUCUCAAGUCAAUCACUUCCUUGUCAACUUCUGUGAUCUCUUCCUUAGUCUCCUGCUGCUUCACCGUGUGCUGCACAGGAAGCGGUGGUUUCUCGCAGAUCGUUUGUUCCGUUCGACUGAAUUCAGAGCGAUAGGAACGAUGUUCUUCCCGGAAGGGUUGGUUCCUCUCGCAGAUUCUCUCCCGUUGACAGAUCUCCUUCUGAUGGAACUUCUUACAGACUUUUGGCGGUUCUGUCCCGCCGUAACUUUGCUCGUAGAGAUUACUCCCGGUCGUUACGGUAGCUGUCCAUGGUUUAGGUAUGGGUUGAACGAUCCUGGUCGGUGUCAAGGAUCUUCUGACGCUGUCGGUCGAGCUGGGUCUCGAUGUUAUUUCACUUUUUGAUUGUCUACCGCUGGUCUCGACCAGCUCCACUUUCCUGUAAAUGGGCCCUGGACAACUGACCCGAUCCAUCGGAUCCUCGUCGAAACAACACUGUCUACUGACCCUUUCGACCUCGCGAUCAGUGCUUUCACCCCUUAUCCUCGUCAAUGCUUUUUCGCAGGCCUCGAUACACUUCUCUUUCACUGCUUGUACGUUUCUUCGGUCGAGGACAGGAUUUGGAUCGAUAUACAAAGGACUGGCGGUGGGAUAAGUUAUGUCCUCGAUUGGUUUCGGUGGUGGCCAAUUAAGACUUUUCGAUUUCACGGAACUCGGAUGGUAAUCGGUCUUGGUAUCCACCAGCUCGUAAUAAUAGGACUUUUCGUGGGUCUCGGAGGUUUCUGGGAUAUUUCGGAUUUCCACGUGGAACAUGUUGAUAGCGGGUGAACGAAAAAAAACAGAUUUGUACACGAAGACACACGAAACGUUUGGUUCAUGCGAUUGAUACACAUAGGUAAUUGGUCAGGGUGUGUUAGAAAGAACGAAAAAAAAAAAGAACAAAGAAAUAAGCUGUGAGUAAGAAGCACAUUGAACGGUAUGUGCUCGUGAUUCUUCUUUAUUCCUGAUAAUUUGUUACAAAGAAUUUUUUAUUCGUCGAAUCACGAGCACGUCCAGGACGCUAAAUAAAAAAGAAGCGCAGCUUAAAAUCAAAAUAGUAGUCUCUGUGAUUAAACGAGGCACGCGUGAGGCGAAGAAAAGCGAAAGCGAUUAAUUAAGCGAAUCGAGUGAGCAGUCGCACUUCUUCAAAUCACUCGGCACUCGAACAUAUUUAUCGGUGAACGAUCUAUAGGGGUAGACGGUCGAUUGCGAAAAAGGGAAAACUCUAGACGAUCGCGAAAAAGGGAACUCGGAUCCAACUUCCUCUCGAAAGCGUAGCGAGGAAACAUAUUUAACCACUUGCGUUGAUUUUUCAUUUCACCCAGCUGACAUGUUCAUCUCGAAAAAUACUAAUCGUCAACGCAAAGGAUUACUUGAUGUUUCGACGAAGCUUCGAUGGAUUCACAUACGUGUGAAUGAUAUGAAAUGGAAAAAAAAAAGAAGGAAACAGUACACGUAUAUCUAACGAAGAGCUUGAUCGGCUUAAUUGGUCGCUUUAUUUCGUAACUGCACUUGUCGAGAAAAUCAUUCACCAUUCACGACUUUCUCGAUCUCGAAAUCUCAAUGAAUAGAAAGCUGCGUGAAAGCAGAAUUCUGACGAAACAAACAAGCACGAAGUGUUGCCAAUGAUGUUUAGCGACGAUGGGAUCGUUUAAUAUUCGAGAUUGAAGAAAAAUCGUGAACGUCGAUCGUAUACAUUUUCUAUGUAUAAUUUAUAAUUUCAUAUAAAUCGGAUCGUUUUCGAUUUCGGAUGUCAGCGAUGAAGACGACGACGACGACGACGACGGCGCAGCUGAGAGCUACCGACUCAUGCGAAUGUGAGGGAGAAGGGUCUGGGUUUCGGGUUGAAAGAUGAAGCGGCUGAAAAAAGAUAAGAAAAGAAAAGAAUUAUGUCCGGGAAUGAGGAGUAUGAAUGAAUAUGAUUCCCGAUAUAAACGUCUUUCUUCGAAUCGUUUAUUUAUACAAAGUUCUUCGAUUUAACCCUUUCACCGUUGUGAAUUAAUAUACGGGGUGAGUCGCGCGAUUGGGACAGGAAAAGAAUUGUAGAGGAAUAAAUUGAAUGGUUCAAGGUGAAAAAUGAGAAAAAUAUUCAACUUGUCGUUAGUCAUUAAUUACGGUAUCUUCCAUCGUGAAAAUGAUUUAAGUCUGAAAGGGUUAAAUAUCGCGAAUACAAGAUUAAAAGCCGUGAAAUAGUUUUAUCAAAGUGUCUUCACUAUUACGUAAGCUCUUUUUAUCGAAGCAGUCUCGACUCAUUUAUUCGCUAUUCAGGUCUCGAUUUAAUCGUCCUGGUUUCGUUUCUAUCACUCUGCAUCAUCGUUGGCUCCAUAGAGUUUUAACCCUACGACUAUGAGGCACCCAAUUCGAGUAUACAUUAAGUAAUAUAACGAGGAUUAAUUAACGUUUCGAAUGAACGUAAAAAUUCACCUAUUAGAAUUGAAAUGCCAUUAGAGACGAUGAGUGAAUGAAUGACAUGAUAUGUCGCAGCUCUCAGAACUCGCCGUCGACGAGCGGAUGAAAGCCAAGUUCAAAGGAGAGCUUGCAAACGAUCGAAAAUUAUUAUCAAUCAUCUAGAACGCGAAAGACAAAGAGACAAUAAAAAAGAAAAAAAAAGAUAUGCGAGGAGAGAAGCCAAAUAGGGCGUAUUAGCCAAAGCUAAGAGAAAUUCGGUCAGCAGGUUUUUUGUGCUCGCAAUUUAUUCGUUGUAUCUUCGAAGGGCGUAAUCUUUGGCUUUGGCAAACUCGACCAGAGACCUAUUUGCAAUAAUCGAAGACAAAGCGAGGCCAAGGAUAAAACAAACAGGUACUAUACUUGGUUGGGAUCAGAGAUCGUUCCUUUCAGAUUACGAAUGAGAUAAUAAGUAGCUGAGCGUGUCGUCGAUGAUAUAUUGCUACGACAUCGCGAUUUCCGCUUUUGUUUCCUGUUAACGUUCCUUCGAGGUUCACAUACCUCCUGUUGGCGUGCCUGUCGUAAUUAUCGUCGGGAUGUUCGCGUCGCGACGCGGAAUUUCAUGCACGUAACAAGUCGAGGUAAACUUAGCGAGGUGUUUUAUAGAAUUAUCGUUGUACAAGAUAGAAAGAGAAAGAAAUUUAGUUCUUUUAUUUCGAAGCUCAUCUUUUCUUCCCCUCUAACUUAAAAAUCUCACAACGUUACGUAACUUUAUCGAAAUUAUGUAAUAAAAAAUCGUGAAACUAUUUACCAACGAGCAUCUCGCGAGAAGAAUGAAAGAAAAAGAAACUUACCAGUCACAGUUUGACUUUGAGGUCGUGGAAGAGUGCUGUUUCCUGAAUUCACUAACGGUGGCGACGAUAAAGCACUGGAUCCUCCGAAAGGCUUGGGACCAAUUAGAUUGUUAGACGUUGGCGCCUGUAUCGAUAGAAAAUACACUUUACUAUUCCGUAUUUCAUCUUCGUUUACGAAGUAAUGACAUAUGACACGAACGAGUAAAAAAAAAAGGGAACAAUGCAAACAACAAUGAUCUCAUUGAACGUAUUAGUGAGGCAUAAUGACAAACAACAUGACAUAUGCGAUGCACAUUGCUACGUCUAAUUAUUAGUUGGGCCACUAAAUUGACAACUAACGAUAAAAAAUCUACUGUGCUUAUAAUGCAACGAGUGGCAAAUUAGUUUGGAAAUAAACGAUAUACACUACUGGUGAUUCGAUUCUCCGCUGCCUUGACACCAUGCUUCACGCUUAAAAUUGACUAUACCUUCUUGAAAAUUAUUCACAGUAAUUAUAACUUCUUUAUACACUAACACCUUUGCUGAACAAAAAAUCAACCAUCGUUUUAAUAACAAAUUUAUUAACUUUCUCACUUACUGAAUAGAUAUAAAAGGAAUUCAAGCGGAAUCACACGGCAAUAAAAAAAAAAAAGAUAAGAAUCAAAUAAAAGAAGAGGAUCUCUUCGUUGGUGUUUCUUAAGCACAACGUACUUGUCUGGAGUGCAUUAUCUGGUGUUCAAAGCAGCGUGAUUAUCAUCGGAACUCUAACCGGUGUAUGUACCUUACCGAGAGUAAGGUUUCGAGUGCGAGACGUUUAAGACGAGCCACGUAUGGGACAUUACCUGGACUGAUCGGAAACUGGGUGGUUCGAUGGGCGAGGUGCCAAGGCGGGUGGGCUGUAAUACAUAAAACGACAGAACGAUGUCACGUGGCGGUGGCCAAUUAAAAAAAGAGGAAGAGAAGAGCAAUUAACACGCACACUCGUAAUAGGGCCAAAACAAAUUAGUCAUCGCAUCGAAAUAAUUUGAAGGAUCAUUAUUCGAUGAUGUUGUCGAUCGAUCGACAAAGAGGAAGUUUCUUUAGUCAGAAGGACGAACAGGUCGAAUAUCAUUACGAUGACUUAGAUUAUUUAUUUCGUAAUGUUGUUUGUUCCUCUUCGUCGAAUCUGCUUCUUGUUUCCUAUUUCUUUCUCUCCCCUUUAACCAUGAGUAACAUCGUUUUAUUUUAGACUGCAAUACUCUAAAUGUGUCUUCAUUCUAGUUCCUAUUAGUAGAAGCGAAGAGUUAUUUAGAGAUGAAAAAUUUCAUUAAUUUUUUAACAAGAAUAUCAACGAGCACAAAGAAACAACUUAUAAAUAGGAAAACAAAAGGAAACAUCGAAGGAUUCGACGAUGGUUUUACGAUAUAAGAUAAGAUUCACGGGUAUCGCCAACCUCUGUGCUACCCGUUUGUAUGGUGAUCGUGCUCGUAAACGUUUUCGAUUCCCAGUGACAGUUGCCAUUGCUGAUGCAUCCGUUUCUAUUCGGGGACGAUAGCUGACUAUUCGGGAAUCCGUAAUCAGGACUCGUACGAUUGCAAGCCUGGAAAAGCGAUUAGUGCCAGGCAAAUACCACACGUGUUAAUUUCAAUUUAAAAGAAAAUUAUUCGAUUAUCGAAAUGCUUGUUCAAACUAGAAUAAAUUGAAAUUUACAAUCGCUUCAGAAGGCAUCAAACAAGUUCAACGAUUAAUGUAGAAUCAUUCGCGAAGCAAAAUGUCGACCACUGCAAGCAGCGUUCAAGCAAACGAGAUAAAAAUGUGUUUAAUUGCACGUGGAAUACUUACCGAGAACGGUAGAGGCGACGAUGCGUGAUUAUUCAAAGGUGGAGACAACGGUGCAUUUGCUAGCGCAGCGGAAAUGGUGCUCGCUGGAGCCUUUCCGCCUCUGGAACAUAUUCCAUUAGAUUUUCAUCGCGACUCGGCACGCGUUUCCUUGUAACAUUGCAGCAAAUCUUUGCUGAACUGCAGAAAAAUUCAUAUACUUACGGUGGCAUGGUGAUUGGAACCAUUCCAGCAGGUGCAUUUUGUCUGGCGACUAGUUUUGCGUGAAUAUCACAAUACAAUUUAUUGUUGAUGUUAUAAUAACCGACGUUCUUCAAGGAAGUGCCACAGGUAGAGCACUUGAAGCAUUCCACGUGUAGAUUCUUCUCCUUGAUCCUGACAAAGACACCCCUAUGAAGAAAAAGAAAGCAAUGAGUGGAGUAAUUUUUAUCUCUCCACUAUUUGAAUAUUUUAACGAACGCAGAGUGAUUUGUUGUCGGAUGUGCCACGAGUUUUUUAUCUAAAAAUUUUCAAAGAAAAAGGGAAGGGCACGAUACCUCGACGAUGGAGGCUGGGAACACAAGAUUUUUUUACUCUGUUUUUGAGUAGUGUUGUUACGUGAAGUGAAUUUCAGUAAAAAAAUAUUUAUGUAUCUUCAAAAAAAUAAUUGCUUUCGUUAAGCAAAAAUCAAGAAAAAAUAUUCAAAAUGUGUUCACAUAAAAAUAGUGAAAAACAAAAACACAACAUCGAUACAAAAGGAUAACAAAAAUAUUCAAAAAUAGAAAAAGAAAAAUCACAACAUCGAAAGCGUAGUUUACAUAUACCCCAAUAAAUAAAAGUUGAAGAAUGAGAAUAUAGAUGUGCAAUUCCCAUGAAGAUGAAUGAUCGCCAUGAAUGGCCACACCACCGUGGAACGAUGAGAAUCAUGAAUCAAGGGAUUCGUCCUUUUUUUCGAAGAAGCGAUACACUAACGACAGAGGCGACAGAGAGAAAAAGAGUCAAAAAGGUAAUCGGUGCUUCCAUUCAAACAAUAGCGGCAAAACGUGCAUAUUUAGACAAAAAAACAUAAAAAUAUUCGAUCGUCACUGACAAUCUCGACUCAAUUUUUAAUCUACGUAACGAUGAAUGCGAAAUGCACGGUCUCUUGUCUUGUUUAAAAGCAUUUUUCAGAUGAAAUACCAGCGUACAAGUCUUACGUACUCUGAAUCGGUCGUAAAAGACACAUCGGGAACGAAAAUCACCAUUUUUUUAGUAUAUAUUGAACAAAUUUCAAAAACAUUCAGUUUUGUUUAAAACUUAGUGAAGUGAAUUCUUUAUUGAAAAACAAAUCGAAAAGUCCUUUACUAUUUUUCAAUCGGACGCUUCGUUCUCGAGAUAUAAGCUGAUGAAAGUUGCGGAGAGCCACUUCCGGGCGGCGCGGCGGCCGCGCACCGGAAGUGGAGGACCUCGAAUUUCAAUCGCUUGUAUCUCGAGAACGGAGCGUCGGAUCGCAAAAUGGAAAAGAACUUUUCGAUUUGUUUUAACAUGAGGAAUCCAUAGAUAAAAUCAAUUAUUAUAAAUUUGCAAUUUUGGUUCCCAGGUACACGCGACAAACGUGUUACUUUUCUACACAAGAGACACUAUAAAAAGAAGCGACAUAAUUCGUCGUGAAGCUAAAGACAUCCCGUGAAGAGAGUUUCACGUGAAUAGUUACACGAUCACACGGUCGCAGUUGCUACAAACGACGACGCUCGACGAGCCUGAGGAGGAAGAGGAGGACUGCUGACGUUGUGGUUGACGUCUCGACGAAUUUUCAUUGGAAUUCAUAGCCGGACCAAAGCCGUGGAGAGCAUGAAAUAGAGGCGUGGGUGAUCUCGGCGAUGUGGCCCUUCCGCCAACGGCGUGGCUCACCGACGAGUAAAACUCUGUUCUCGAUGAUACUACGACAUGGAAGUAGAGAAACCAUUCUGUGACACUACCACGUGAGAAACUAUUUCAUUAUCGCGAACAAGCUAUUCGAUUCGUUGUUGGAAAAAAGAAAACGAUUAAAAUGUGUGCGCCCAACAUACUCUUCUUCGUCGAAAGGAAACCGUUCGAGGGUAACUAGACGAAUAGUCAACAUCCUAUUUUCCUUUCCGGUUCUACGAUGUCUGCGUUGUUCUGAAAGAAAGAGAAUAACGACGAGACACGCGUCCCGGUCGUUGAACUUACACAAUGAGCCUCUCGCAUUCAGCGCAUAUGUUCUGUCCAGGUGGAAGGCUCGAUUGCGGCGUCGACGGUGGCUGUUGCUUGGUUUCCGGUGCGGAGACUGGCCUCAGUCCUGCCAGGGCCGGCGACGACGGCAUAAUCACGCCGCUCUGUGCAGUUGGCUCCGCUAUUUCGCAAAGAAGUUAUCGUACCGGCAUGCAACAGGCUAAGAGCCAGCUGAUCCAGUCGAAAAAUCACUGGAGAGAUUUCGCUGUUGUUUAGGUAAGUGAAAGAGAAACUGUUUUUCCCUCGUGUUUUGCACGUAAGGACCAUUAUGAAGCUAUCUCUCCAGAAAUUUUUAUUUCUUUUCUAAUCUUUUUCUUUGUACACGAGACGUUGAAGUAUCAAUAGUAAGUUUACAAUGUCUCGAGUAAUUUUAAAGGAACAUGGAUACAUUGCUACUGAAAUUUCAAGGCACUAGUUUGCGGUUACUAACCAGGUUCCGGUGUCUUUGGUUCUUUGUCCGCUUCUUGGACCAUUUUGAACACUUCGCUGUUCUCUGCGUUGUAAUUCUUCUCGUUUUUUUUGAAGUUUACACUACAAAUAAUUCAUCUUUAUCAUUAUUUUCUGCUAUUCGAAUUUAACAAACGAUUCUCUUACCCAAGAACACCACCAGCUAAAACUUCCGCUUGGGCGGACAGAGUUUCCGCGAUCGUUUCUUCACUGUAGAUACCCACAGGGCUGUUGUACUGUUUGUUAACGAUGGAUUUGAUCGAACCAUCCCCCGUUCCAUUCAGCUGCAACGAAUGAAUUAUUCACAAUCGCAUCGUGUACGUCAUAUUUCAAGAAUGUAAAACGAGGUUGAAAUUCCUUUAUAUAAUUGACACUAACGAAUGGCUUUGGACUGAAAUUAUGACCGCUUCCGAUCAGUGGUCCGUCUUGCUUCUUGGCUGCCAACGAUGUCUUCGUAACUGGAGCAAUGUUGCUAACCGAGGACGUGGGCGAUGGCGACGGAAGGGUUGAACUUAUCGGAGACACGUGUGGCUUCCAGGUACCGCCACCUCUGUCAACAACAGUAGCCAAAUAAAUGAAGCGCGAUGCAGUUGUUAUAAAAUACAAACGGACGAGAAGUGGACAGAUGGACCGGCUCUUAGUCCGUUUCGUUUCCACCGUGUUUAGACGAAAGAUAAUGUUAAGAUUACGGUCGUGCCUGUCGCUACCUCUGUACAGUGAUCUCGAAAUUGUUUCCAGCUCUCAUGAUAACAUCCUGCGCGUCCUUGUGUCUCAGAUUGUACAUCUCGGUGUUGUUCACCCUGAUAACUGCAUCGCCGGCCUUCAAACCAGCUGCUUCCGCCGGGGAGCCGCUAUUAACCUGCAAUACACAACAUUUUACACGUCCGCAGCCAUCCAUUCGACGCGUACUAUUAGCAAACCAGAUGCACGAUAAAUUCCUCUUUCUGAAUUUUAUUAUUGUACCAUCGCAACGACAAGUGGUUAAAAUGUUUAUACGUUUUUAAAGAGAUCGAGAAACACAUUUUACAGAGACGUUCAUUUUAUAACGACACUGUCGAUCGUGAUUUAUGCAACGCACAGCUUUAUCGUUCCUCGAGCGCCACGGACCCAGUGCAAUUAAGUAAAUGAAUUACCUCGCGUGAUCAAUGAGCCGUUUUAAAUCAUCAUAAUUUAUCGCGUUACACCUAUCCAGCACUCUUAUAACCGCGAUUUUACCCGAGGUUAAUUACGCUAUUAAUAUAUUUAUCCGAUCUCGUUCCAUUGCAGGAUAAUCGUAAAUCAAUCGAUAGGACUUGAUAAAUAUUAAGUUGGCAAGUAAAUUUUUAGCUUGCUUAGUUUUCGAUCCCUUUUCGCUUUUCAAAUUACUAACAUCGCAGGAAGAAAGGAACUUAAGAGAGCUCAUUUGCCAUCGAACACGCCUCUUCGUCAAGUUAAUUAGAAAAUUAGUAUACCCCAUUAGGGCGCGAAGCGGAGGGUAACCCGCGUGUACGGUUUAUCCAAAAUCGUCGGACGCUAUUAUUACUCGAAGCAUGCGCUGAAACAGUGAGAAGGAGACGCGGGUUCGCGCUGGUUCACGUUCAUUCAUCGCGGUUCUACGCGGUGGCACGGCAACGUUAGCUACAUACGUGUUCCCCCGAUAUGCCGUAUACCUCUACAACACUAUGCUGCUUGCACCUUGUGCUCGACUGCAACAUUCUAUCUGUUCGUUCGGUUUUCUUCGUGGCUACGUACCGGCAAGCAACGUAUACGUGUCCGUUCGGGGCCUAUUUUUAAACCGGUCCAAGACUAUUUUUAGAGAAGACAGGCUUUCACGGUGCCCACCAAGCUUAACCCUGACUUACGUCCACGUCCUAUGUUAGGACAUUAAACAGAGAGCUUAUGAUACCGACCCUUGCUAUUUUUGAGGGGACUUCACUUAGGACGAAUCUACCAACCGACUAGCUUCCUGGUUGGUGACUUCUGUAAUUGUAGGAGGAAUCUACACGCUUUCGCUUGGGAAUUUGUCCCGUGAUUAUUUGUGGAACGCGGUAAUAGAGGAUAUCCCCGAGUUCUAAUCGACUACCAAGUAGCUUUCUUAUUCUAGGGUUCCCUAGAAUGUUAGGGAUUUCGAUGGAACGCGAUACUCUGAACCGAAUGACAGCGUUGUUGAUAAUAACGUGAACGGUAAACGUAUCCAACUAUUACCCCAACAACGAUGAGGCAAUUUCACGGUCCUAUUUCUGGAGACAGACAGAGGCGGGAAUCGAAUCGAACCACUCAUCCUCUGGCCCCAAUUUCGUCCCCAUGACGCGAGCUUAAAGUCCAGGAAGAGAGCCAGUCAUCGAUGAUUAAAAAGCAUUUCUUGCUCGACUGUAUGUACGUACGUGUCUCGAGGGAUUGACCUACAUUUUGUUUGUAUGCUGGAAAAAAUUAUUUCAAGCUCCGAGAUGAACCGAGGUCUCUUAACGAAAAUAACUGUAAUAAAUCACCGAACGUGUUUAUAGAAAGAAUUAGACCUGGCUUUCGAUCGAACGUCCAUUAAUUACACUCGAUUUCGACAUGAGUUGGAAAUAAAUUCGUAGCACCAUUGACUGCUAUUAGUUAAUAAAAGUUUGAAAAAUGUUUUUCAAGAGAAACAUGGCAAAUUCAUUAGUGCACGCGUGUCUACGGUAGCCCACGUAGUCCAAGGUAUUAUUAAUAUAACGACGCGGCUAAAAAUACACAGCCGAAAUACAUCGGUGUGCGAAAUGCAGCAAAGUAGAUGCACUUGAAUGCAGUCGAAUCGAGAGGGAGAAUAAGCCAAGGUGUACGAGGUACGCAUUCCAAUGGGCGGGUUAUCAGAGACGGAUCCAUCCCACCGUUCCAUGCUGGAAUGCAUCUUUGCUCGUUUUUUUUUUUUUCUUUCUCUCACUUUGAGGACUUAAGGCUCGUUCAUAGCGCUGGUGCGAUACUCGUCGAAAAACGUUGCUGGACAAGAGAAGAGGGAGAGAGAGCUACGGUCAGUGACACCGGGUCUCAAUCGGACCAAAUGAAAGGGAACGUGUUCGAUGGAAAUAAGUCACCGAUACUUUCGCGUCUUCGACAACGUUCCUGUUUCCACGGGUCUGACCUGAUGUCGUUGGGGAUUUUAUUACCGGCAAGCGGAAGAUUAAUCACCGGUCUAACGGAAAGAGUUAGACGAGCCGAGUGAAAAGUUGAAGACAAAGUCGCUAUUAACGUCGCUACCGAUUUGAAAUAGAAACUUAGGCGCCAGAGCCGCGCGUCGCCGACUUUCCGGACGGAUAUUUGGUACAUACAGGGAUGCAUACCAAGAGGAACGAAUCGACAGAGGGGAAGAAUUUCCAAGUCCACGUUUUGCUAGUUUAACGAAACAAUGUGGUUGACACGACAGCUCGCACACGGUAGCCUUUGUUACCCUAAGGCAGGACAGAAGAAAUAGACAGUGACGUCAGGACGAAAUUAUUGGCCUACGUUCGACCUGGUCUUAUCUUUUCAAACAAACUCUGCUCCAUGUUGCUGUUCGUUGAGAUGUAACAAGAAUACGUGUGUGUAUGCACAGUCGUUCGCAUCGUUCGCGUGUAACCAAGUCGUAAACCUCCUUCUACGGAAGGCUGAAUAUCGAUGACGUCCAUACCUCCUCCGGAUCUCAACCGGAGAUUCGAUGAUUUUUCGCGAAAUGCGUCAAUAGAUUUCCAACAUUCCGUUUCUCCUCUUUUUCUCUCUCGUUCAUAAUUCAACGCUGUUUAGCCUCUAUUCGCUCACCUGUUUUCUUAGAGAGUUCUUCGAGAGCAAGGAUGCGAGACAGUAACAGUGAGUGAUAUAUUACCUUCUUUAUUUUAUAAGAAAAUACUAACCGAAGACCACCGGAAGUCUUUACUAUUAUCGGGAUCGUUGCAUAUUUAGCGCAAAAGAGAUUGGAAUGCGAGUAUACUUUUUCCUUAGAACAGAUACGGUUUCUCGAGAAGGAAACGAGGAAAGCGAGGUGAACGAAUGCGUGAAAGUGGAUACAGUUCCUGGAGGUGAUUAGGCCCGAUGACACACUCGAAACGGAAGAAUGACGACGCGAACCACAAAGAGUACCCUGUCGAAAUACCUAGUCGAACGAAUAUAUAUGGAAUUAAUUUAGAAGUGAUUAAGGGGCUAAAGAAUGGAACGCAACGUGCUCGCGAGUCACUGUUGACGAUGGAUGACGUGGUGCGAGCGUCUGAGAAUGAGCUCACCUCGGUUCUUCAUUAGUUGAUAAUGAAAAUGAUGGGGCGACGCGAACAUAACAAUGUCGAUUACGCUUAUCGCGGUAUUUUUAAUCGCUCCUCGUGGUACUUCAUCGGCGUCCUAUUGUGGCGAUAGAUUACAUUCAAAGACAGGACGCUUCGCGUGCGUACAGUCUAAAAUUAGUUCGAAUAGGGAAAAAAAUGAGAUGAUUCUCAAGUUCGAUGAUGUCGUAAUGGUGAUGCGAUCAGGACGACGAUGGGGUGUCGUAUUACCCACGAAUUCACGUGGUGCCUAAGGAACGGGGCAAACAUACGGGAGAAGACUGAUUUCUGGUCUGACUUUUGGCAAAUUUCCCACAACAGCCUCCCACUGUGUCUCUCUUCAUUCCCGAAAUCGAAUCGGCAUUUACGAUGCCUGCUCCUAAAUCUUCGACCUCGUCAUCGAGAUACAAUUUCACUCUGCCUUGUCUGGCUUUUCUCGUUUCGUUUCGCCGACGAUACAACGAGAAAAUAAUCAAAUACGAUUUCAAUUAAAGAAGAAAAAAAAAAAAGAAGCUUCAACAGGUUCAAGUACCUUGAAAAAUUAACCAUUUGAAUUAUAAAGCUUUCUUCUAAGUUUCCAACUUAACGAGCAUGUCGAAACUCAUGUAAAAUUAUAAUUUCUUGGUUGUCCACGCGUUGUGGAGCCACUUCCUGUGUUGCAGAAAACCGUGAAAAGAAACGCUCCGAUGGAAUUUCAGAGGAGAAGAAGAAGAAGAACAAGAAGAAGAUGACGAGGGAGAGAGGAGAUAAAAGGAUGGGAUUCGAAGGCAAUAAUCGUGUAAAAUAAAAGAGGCACAAAUAUCAUUGGCAGAUUAUAAGAAGAAAUGAAAAUUUCAAUAAAACGUAGCAUCAGAGUGUGAAUGGCACCCAAAAAAUGGAAGGAGUAAUCCAUCAUCCAAAGAGUAUUCGCAACGAUCCGCGAAGCUUCAUUACUCGCAAUUACACGCGAUUAAUUUGUAAUCUGGUGCGAUGGGAGUCUUUCGCAUCCCCGUAGACUCAUAUUUCUCUCCUUUCCGAGAAACUCGAGGGCGGCCGGACGUCGUAUUUGCGGCCUCGUAAAAUAAACGGAGCACGUGCUGCUAAGAAGGCCAAGUUCGAAAUGUCGAUCGGAAGAUGAAGUUGUUUAAACGUUCGAACAAGAUUCACUCGCGUUUAUCGAUCGUUUCCUGAAUGAUAUCCGAGGGAAAAACCGCAAGAUUCGUAUGAAAAUUGCACAGCUCUAUCUUCAUUGACACGAGCCAGGAUAUUUCACUUUUAAUCAAAGCAAUAACAAACACGACGAUGGAUACACAGAAGAAGAGGAGGAGUAUCCGACAAGGACAGAGCUUGACGUAAGAAUAUUUGCAUUGAUAUUUCGUAAGUGGUUGCAUCAAUGGACAAACGAGUCGUGGAAAUAAACGAAGAAAGUUUGAAAAUUCGCUCGAAAGUCGAUGGUAGCCAAAAGCUUCUCGUGUUACAGCCCGCCUCGUUCGCCAAAACACGGCGACCACGACGAGCCGAGCGUUUCGCACGUAGUUGGCAGAGAUUUCUACCGAUGCGCGUGAAAUAAUUUGGCGUUUGCAUGUGUAUUACGUAAUAUCAUUUUAUAGACUGUAAUGACAACAACAGAGGAAAAAAAGAUGGACGAGCCUUGACCAGGUAAGAGUUAAAAAAACAAAAGAUUACACCCACGUUUCUGAAUAAAAUAUCACUCGACUAUUGUCAGGCACAUAUUUUAAAUAAAAUUUAUGAAAUAUUCUUGAAAUGACAUGGAACGCUCUGUAUACACACGUACAGUUGAAACUAUCACUCUUUCAUCGAAGGCACUUGAAGCACAUUUAAAAGAAAUCACACCGAACUGAUAACGAUGAACCAUUGGAUAAGAAUUCCAUUUCCCUUUUCGAGGAAAUUCAUAGACUCACCAGGGAUCUUUGAUAUCCGUGACGUCAAAGAUGAUCGAAGUUGUCGACUUUGAUAAUGACUUUAAGAUACCAUUAUUGAUAAUUGUGUAACGUAUACGCGAUUCCUAGAAAUGAGUGAAAGAAGAAAGAUUUCUUGAUACGAUAAAACAUCACGAAAUGAACCUAUACAAAUACUUUUCCACUUUCCUAUACUCAUCCCUAAGAAAGUUGUCAAAUCGAACCCUGAGGAAUCUCCCUCGAAAAAGAACCAAAAGAGACUCACCUUUUGCACGACUAGAGGAGUGCCAAAAUCCUUGCCACCCUGAAGACGAAAACCCCAAGGGGAUCCAUCGAAUCUGGACAGCUUAACGCUGAUCAGCUGUGCCAUAUCACUUGAUUCUACUCAACUGACGAAGCUUUGAAAAGAAUAAUAACAGUAUAAACUCCUCGUGUGAUCGGCGAACAAAGUGACGAAGAAGAGGCGAGGAACAAAUACUGUUCCCUCGUCGGUUUAAAAAUAAAAAAAAAAGAGGAAAACUGAUUAUCUUGAACUUGUUAAACCAAAAGAUAAAGAAUACACGUUGCACCGGCGGUCACGGUUGACGUCUGCCUUUAGCGAGGCGGAAUCGCGCGAUUUGGUAGAACGGCACGAACGUUCCUGAAGAACGCGCAGACCGGAGUAAAGGUAGAACAGACUUGGAGGACGGUCAGUCGGCCAGCGGGGCCUAGCCUGGCUGCCUUCCUUCCAUCCGAUUCGACUCUGACGACGCUCUGGCAACGGGGCGGGGAUAGGGAUAGAAAGACCCGACACCACGGUGGAAGGAACGAGACCGCGAUCCAGAAUCAUCCAUUGGAGGGGGUUGGAGAUAGAAAGACGAGGAGAAAGAUAGAUGCAGCAUUUCAUGGGAUAAGGAAGGAAAGUAUCAUAGAGAUUUAUCUAUUUUUCGUUGUAUCGCGGGGAUUAUAAGGUGUGGGGGAACGAUAACGCUAGAGAAGACUCGGCCAAUCAAUGAUUUAGAGGUGAAUGGGUAAACUAGGGUGGUUCCGUACGGAGGCAACCUUGAAGAGGUGAAAUAAAAAAUGACGAUAGGGCAAAAAUGAUAAGGAAAGUAAAGUGUAAGGAAUAAUGGAAGAUCAACUGCGAUAGGAAGAACCGGAAGUUGGUAUUAAUACAAAGUCCUUGAAGUCAACGAACCGAAGGAGAAUGAAAGAAAAGGGCCCUUUUGUUGGUCAGCUCGCAAACGCGUAGCAAGAAUGAGAAAAAAAAAAAAAAUAACUGAAGGAGAUAAGAAAGUGAAACGGGAAUGAGAUAAGGAUAAUAGAAUGAAUAGACGAGAAUUGUAAAGGUAUCAAAAGAGAAAGGAAGAGGGAAAUGUAGAGAAAAGGAUGAAGAAGAAUACGUGGUGGUGGUAUCGGGAUGGCAUUCCCGACAUUUUAUUCCGUCUUUUUUCUUCGAUCGUACCGAUUCCUACCGGUCCACCUUCUGUCAUUGCUCCCGGUGCUUCGACCAUGAAGAGAAGCACCUUGCUCGGAACACCGUCCGCCCAUGCAACCUUCCACGCGAUCAUUCAUUCGCGAUCCUACCUGCAACAACUAUCCAUCGAUUAAUGCUCCUUUUCAACACGAUCGUUCUUUUAAUCUUUUAACUUCUGAAUGUUUAAAAACAAAGAAGAAAGAUUUGCGAGUAUCUAAUCGCAUCCCUAAUCGCAACGGCAGCGUCCCCUAGCCAACGACCGUUAGAUGGAAGAAAGACGCGGAGCACCCAUGCGAUGGGUGGCGUUGAAAAGCGAAUGGGUGAAACGAGAAACGUCAUCCGCAUGACGUAGGAUCUGAAAUUCAUCCGGCUAUCGGAACGAAGCGCAUAUGCAUGACGGGAUGAGCCAUGAUUUUCGUUCUGUUGGAGAGUGGUUGCAUUUUUUGCGCCGGUGGCGGUCACGAGGGCGCGAACUAGUUCGUGAAUCAUGCCUAGAAUGCUUUACAUAAAUUGCUCGGGACCGACGUCACGUUCUCGGACCCUAAGCAUGAGACGACCAUCGGGAGUAAGAUAGAAGAUGAAGAAGGAAAGAGAUGGAAUAUGUUGGUUGGCCACGGUAAGAAGUGACUCAGCCCCAACCCGUACGCAUGCGGUACACGCGAGGAGAAGUCGGAAAUCCACGGAAAGGUGAAAGUAUGCGCGACUCAUCCGCGAACCGACGCGGACCACGGAUCCUCGGAUAUCCGAUUCCGUGAAAGAAUCUUGCGUAGAACGUGACCAUCCUACCGUUCGAUAUCGUUGCGUCAAAAUAGGCACGAUUCUUGGUACCAUUCCGUCUUUGAGGUGGGUGCAGGUAUAAAAAGAUUCGAAAGUAUCGUUCAGAUGACGAUUUACGAAAAAAAAAGAAUCAAUCCUUUUUUUAUUAACGCUUAAUUUUUAUAACGUGCUUUCUUUUUUCACAAUGCUUGCACUUACAGACAUGUAUAUACGACACGCACACGCACUUUGAUUAAUUAACGUUACGUUUAUACUUGAUUACUCUCGUAGCGCACGUACUCAUAUAUCGUUUUGAAGUAGCGUUGUUUUUUUUUCUUCUUCUUCUUUCUUAAUUAUCGACGCUCUGGUACUUUCUGUUCAAUGUCUUCUCGUUAAAAAAGAAAAUUCUUUUUUCUUCUCAUCGAUGACUUGACGGGUUCAGUGACUGACGCUUCGAGUACUUCUGUCAUCCGCGGUGCUCAACGCUGGGGAUUUCUGAAAUAAAAACAGAAUAGAAGUAAAAUAUAUAU